CAAAAACCCGCCCCUUCCUUUCGUUGUUACGGACUACAGAGAGUGACGUUGGGCUACUGAGACUGUGUGUGGGUGUGAUGUGCUGCUCACAAUCAGUGCGCUGUGCCGUCAAGGCUCCCAACUGUGUAGCAUGGUAAUUUAACGUAGUUCCGGUCGGAGCGCCAGCUGUUGCCGUCACAACUAUUAAAGACGCUAUCAUGACUUUCGUAUGUACCAUCGGUCCUCGAUUUUGCAUGCGUUAAGGCGGGCUGAGUGAGAUGUGGUCAUUUCGGAGCUGAGUGUUUCCUGAGGCUGGGGGGAAUUCUUUGCUGCACCUUUAGGCUUUACUUAAAUAAGGGUCGUCAUUAUUGCUGUGUUUAUUUGCAGUGAAUUUGGUGGGUAUGAUUCUGAUUAGUGGGGUGCUUUUCCCUUUUGUAUAGCUGGUGCUGUCGUACUAGCCUGCCCUUCAUACAGGAAGCCUCAGUCCUCCUAUGAUUAUUGUUAACUUUCUCUUGUGACUGUUUUAUUUGACCUGACUGUGUUGGCUGCUUCUUUUAAAAUAGUUCUUGGCCAG
ensembl:lncRNA